CCUACGGGGGGCAGCAGUGAGGAAUAUUGGUCAAUGGGCGCUAGCCUGAACCAGCCAAGUCGCGUGAAGGAUGACUGCCCUACGGGUUGUAAACUUCUUUUAUACAGGAAUAAAGUCAGGCACGUGUCCCUUUUUGUAUGUACUUUAUGAAUAAGGAUCGGCUAACUCCGUGCCAGUAGCCGCGGUAAUACGGAGGAUCCGAGCGUUAUCCGGAUUUAUUGGGUUUAAAGGGAGCGUAGAUGGGUUGUUAAGUCAGUUGUGAAAGUUUGCGGCUCAACCGUAAAAUUGCAAUUGAUACUGGAAGUCUUGAGUACAGUUGAGGUAGGCGGAAUUCGUGGUGUAGCGGUGAAAUGCUUAGAUAUCACGAAGAACUCCGAUUGCGAAGGCAGCUUACUAAACUGCCACUGACAUUGAUGCUCGAAAGUGUGGGUAGCAAACAGGAUUAGAUACCCGAGUAGUC
rnacentral:rRNA from 1 species